UUACUUUGAUGUGCUAAUUAAUCUCUAUGUUCCUUUGUGAAGGUGCAAUUGAACUUUCGAUAUUAGCAGAUUAUUAUGGACGUGAAAUUGCAGCAUAUGAUAUCCAGACAACCCGAUGUGAUUUGUAUGGUCAGUAACUAUUCUGAAAGAGUGAUGUUGAUUUACGAUGGUCUCCACUAUGAUGCAUUAGUGGAAAUAAGUUGAAGCUUCAAUGCAUUUUGGGUUUUAAAUAUACCGUCCAAGCUCUGACACAGCAUAGGGAAGACCAAGAACACCAGCUCCAACCAUGGUAGUAACAUUGUGGAAAGCUGAGUACCACCAUUUUCCAUUCCUUUUUGACAUAAUUGGAAGCCACUCUUCAAUUUUCCUAUCCCUCUCUGAUUUUUCCUAUUUUAUCAACAAACAACAAAUUAAAUGAGCCUCAACUUCAAGCUACAUAAUGGCAUAAAAUCACUUAAACAAGGGUCUAUAUGCUAAAAAGGAAAUACAAGAAAGUGUGUAACCAAUUCACAAUAGAAAAUCUUAUGAGGCGCUACUAAGAUGAUUUGAUCAAACAUAACACAUGUAUACAAUGUUUGGUUACCUUAUAAAUGCAUUCUUCUCUAAGGAAUGAUUUUGCACUAUCUUCACUUUGCCGCCCUGAAAGAGAAGUGAAUGACAUAUAAUCCAAGUCUCUAAGGAAUGCAACUACAACAUCUCCUCCAAGUCCAGACUUUAAUGCAUAUCAAUGUAGUAACUGGGAACUCAUGAAGCUUGCUGAAGCAGACACUGACACCGCCUUCAGUGUUGUUGAUAUGGUUACUUCAUCCGGCACAAGACCUUCAUCAAUCAUCAAACCAAAAAAUUCAACCACAUCAUCAACCGCAUCACAAUGAGAUAGAGGUCAUCAAUGAGUUGAAACACUCCAAAGUUCUCUUGGGAACGCAUUCAAAUACGUCAACAGAACUCUCAAUGUCCCUGCACUUUCCAUUGAAUGAAGAGUUUGUUUCUUUAA